UCCGGUGGCGAUAGCGAGAAGGUCACACCCGUUCCCAUACCGAACACGGAAGUUAAGCUUCUCAGCGCCGAUGGUAGUUGGGGGCUG
rnacentral:rRNA from 1 species